GAUGAACGCUGGCGGCGUGCCUAAUACAUGCAAGUCGAGCGAACGGACGAGAAUCUUGCUUCUCGCAUGUUAGCGGCGCACGGGUGAGUAACACGUGGAUAACCUACUUAUAAGACUGGUAUAACUUCGGGAAACCGGAGCUAAUACCGUAUAAUAUUUUGAACCGCAUGGUUCAAAAGUAAAAUACGGUCUUGCUGUCACUUAUAGAUGGAUCCUCGCUUCAUUAGCUAGUUGUUAAGGUGACGGCUUACCAAGGCAACGAUGCAUAGCCGACCUGACAGGGUGGUAGGACACCGUAGAGUAUAACCAGGGACAAGACGACUAAGGGAGGACGCAGUCGGGGAUGUUCGGCAACGGGCGAGAACAUGACAGAGUGAGGGGGAGCGAGUGGUAACGGCCUUGGGAUCGUGAACAUCUCUUAUGAGGGAAGAACAUAUGUGUCAGUAACUGUACAGUUAUUGACGGUAACUGAUCAGAAAGCAACGGCUAACUACGUG
rnacentral:rRNA from 1 species